UUGCCAAUCUCUGGUCUCCCAGGAGAAUACAGAAUGCUUCAGUAGAAAUCAGCUACUUCUGACAAUGUUUGAAAUCACUGGAGAAUCAGUGUCGUAUCAAUAGUGCACCAUAUUGAUGAUAUAUAAUAUUAUGGGCAUGCAAGACACCACACAACUAAAAGAAAAAAAAUAUGUUGGGGUUUCUUGUUUUUUUGCCUUUUCAUGGACCUGGAAAUCUCUCUUUUAGACACUAAUUUCUGUUGUACAACCUGUCUCCACAAGUGCUGGUCUUCUUCCUAGCAAAGGCUCCCAUCACUCUCCCAGCUAGCCAGCGUAUUUUCUAACUUUCCUGGGGAUGGAAGUGGUGAAAGUAAAGAUAAAGUGCUCUUCUUGAGUGAUGACCAUAGACAUGAACCUUAAUGUCUUUGGAGGCUUAGCAAAGUGUGAUUCAGAGGACUUUAAAGUCUCUGGGAUAAGGACGCACUUCUCUUUUGGCGGCUUAACCUUUCCUUUGAACUGGAAGAAAACACCAGAACAAUAAAAACCACAGUGAGGGUGAGGUUUGCCCUGGGCUUGUGAGGUCCGGACUUUCAGAUAAGAAGUCUGGUGUGUAAAGAAGUUCGAGCAGUAACAAGUUGUUGUUCUGUUGUGCCUUAUUUUUUCCAGCAAGCAACAAAGAAGAAAAACCAGCCUAUGUUUAUAGCUGAGAGAAAUCUUUGGCUGCAGGUCACACCACAGAUGAUGAAAACUAUUUGGCGGCCUGCAAGGGCUGUCAGUGCUGUUGCAGGUCAGCAGCUCAGCAGGAAGACACCGGCUGUUCCUGUUUGCUGGAGGGAUCGCAGCUUCUGAAGAUUCCCUUUUAGACUCAGAGAAUUGCCCAGCGGACUUGAAGAAUUUGAAGAUGAAGAGUUGGGCUUCAUGACUGCAAAGAUCAUCAUGCCAAAAGUGACUGAGCAUAAUCAUGCACAGGCUGUCAACAACUGCUUCAUGAAGGAAGGAGAGCCAGGAGUUGAGGGCAAGCACUGAUCCCACUGACCAGAGCACAGCCCUGCAAUACUUGUAUCAGAACAGGACAGUGACAGGUUCCACUGAGAGGCAGUGGACAAGAUGAGGUGACAAAGACAACGUCUAUCCAUGUCAAGCCAACAGAAUUACUGAAUCUCUCUAAUUGGAAGGGACCCAUAAGGAUCACCGAGUUCAACUCCUGGCUCCACACAGGACCAUCCAAAAAACAAACCCUAUGUCUGAGUGUUGUCCAGACACUUCUUGAACUCCAGCAGCUUGGGGCCUUGAUAAGCCUGUUCUGUAUCUGACCACCCUCUCAGAGAAGAACCUUCUCCUGAUAUCCAACCUGAAGCCAUGUUUAGGAGUGCUUGAGCACAGGCCUCCUCCAAUAUAGUUCAGGCUCAGUGCCCUCCCCCAAGAAAACAACUGUUAAAAGAUAGGAAAAAAAUUAGCAAUAAGCCUGAAUUUAUGUAGGUGAUCUAUUCCCUUGCUUUAGCAUGAUUUUUAGUCUUUGUUUGUUUUGUUUGCUUGGUUAGUUUGGUUUGGUUCAUUAGCUGAGCAGAGGCAUCUGGAAUUCUUUAGUGGAAGAACUGUUCAGCAUAGCUGGGUUGCAUAUGGCUUUGAGGAACAUACUUAGGUAUACUUCCUAUAGAGUUGAGAAGUCAGAUGGAAAGGGCUUACAAUGCCAGAGACAAUGUGUCCUUGAAAGGUAGCUGUAAUACUGGCAUACUUGGAAAUACUUGUUUAACAAAAUCAUUCAUUUUUCUCCUCAAAGUACCUGUACUUUAACAGGUUUGUGAUUAGCCUUCCUCAAAAUAGAGGAACUGAGCCUCAAGAAAUGCCAACAGCUUGCUAAUUUUCAACCC
rnacentral:lncRNA from 1 species